GGCAUUCAAUGAAACAUGUAAAAUAAGAAAUAAUUAAAGAUGGAAAAAUUACCCAAAAGUUGAUGAAUCCAAACAACAUCUUCAACAGGGAAAUUAACAUGUCUUUGCAUUUCUCCAAUUCAUGAAAAAGGGUCCCAAAUAGACAUUAUAACAUUAAGCCAAAAAGAAAAAAAACAUUCUUCAAAAAGGAUUACGGAGACAAACACUACUAGAAAAAUUGAAAUUAGAGACGGGAGAAAUCUGUCUCUAAAACCUGUAAUUUCCGUCACAAAACAAGUUAGAGACGGAAUUAGAGACAGAUACAGUUCCGUUGUUAUUUUCGUGGUCUCUAAAGUGUUCAGAGACGGAUUUUGCUCUCCGUCACUGGUCAGAGACGGAAUUUGUCCGUGUCUAUCCUACAUCCGUCUCUAAUUCCGUCUCUAUCAACACCCAAUUAUUUCCAUCUCUAACCUACUGAAUUCCGUCUCUAAUAAUAAUAAUUAUUUUCUGUAAUUAAUAAUUAUUAUAUUUGUCCUGUUUGCAAUCAAAUGAUUACAUAAUUUUCUAAAUGCUAAUUCAUUUUUCUUACUAUAACUACCUCUAUAAGGUGACAAUCAAAUUUCAAUCAACUCCAAAUUUGCAAUACUUAAUCAAAAGCACAUGUAAUUUCUUUAUACAACAAAACAUGAACAAGUGCGCCAAUAGAUGAUAUAAAAUUUAAAGUUCCAUAGAAUAAAAAAGAUCAUAAUAUUUGAUCUAAUAAAAAUACAUAAAUUAAAGUAACCGAAACUAUAGCCUAUGAAGUCAAGUGUUGCAUUGCAUCUGAGGUCUGUGAGGCUUGUAAAGCUUAACUUGGUUCCCUAUGCAAAUGCAUCCAAAGGCAGCACAUCAUAGCAUAUGAAGUCCAGUGAUGCUAACUACAAUAGAAACGAUUAUGACAAUCAUUAAAUGACUAACAAGCAGCACCAAAAUAACUUGGUGCUCAAAAAUGUAAAAAAUUGAAAGAGGGGAAAUGUAUGGAACAUGAAGAGUUCAUAUAAGAGCUUUAUUAGGUCCGUAACAUCAUUGAAGUAAAUGAAACAAGAAUGACAACAUCAGCAAACCUGAGAUGAAUAAUUAGUAAAUACGUUUGGCUUGCAGGUAAAACUAAGAGCAUCAAACAUACUGAUGGAUUCUUUAGGUUUCAAUGGACAUAGCAGUCUGGCAAAGAAUACUUAUAGUUAUCCUUUGUUGAUUGAUCCUGCCAUUUGCAGUAACCAAAAUGUAUCCCUUGGGAGCAAAUAUUUUAUCACAUUAUGUAAACCAUAUGAACAAUGAAAGAUAGAAAUGAUUAAGUUAAAACUAUGGUUUUAUUGAAUGUUUUUUGGCACAUUAUAUAAAGAGUUGUGCUGGCUGGAAACUAUUGUUUCAAAAUAGAAACCACAACAAAAAUUUAAAAUCUUAGAAAUACUUUAACAAAAACAAAUAAGUUCAAGCCACAAACAAAUAUCUUUAAAAUUAAUACACCAUGUAUUCAGCAUGGUAAGACAAAAUAAUAUCUAGAAAACAAAGGCCUGUCUCAAGAAAUAAAUGAGUCAAGAAGAAACCUUUGUUCUUUAUCUUAGGCUUAGGAUGUCUUUUCCUUAAUACUCACAAAUGGGACUGCCUGAAGCUUGAUUGAUCUAACUUCUGUUAAAAAGGAAAGUUGGCGAAUAAUUAUGAAAAGGUAGCUUGAGGCCAAACUAAGGUAGAUGAAAAAAAUUAAGGCAACCAAGUGCAGUUAGGAACAAAUAGAACAUGCUCAAAUUAUUUUGAUUCAAGUCAACCCAUGAAACCAACCUUGAUUACUAGGAGUAAUCCUUUUGGGUACAACAUGAAUCAAAUUGACAAAAACACUGCUUAGAAAGUAACAAAGAGACAUUCAUAACCAUAUGAAAGAAGUUGACACCUAUAUUUGUCCAUGAGUAUUCAAUUUGUCAAACACACACAUGACUCCUCUUUAAGAAACAAAAAUGGAAAGGAUGGUACGUAUGAUGAACAUAAUACCUUGGAUAACAAAAUUGUACCUCCUACAAUUGUUUCAAAGCAUCCCUGCCAUUAUAAGCUAAUUAAAUUGGGAAUGAAAAACAAAACAGAACAUAUUGACACCAAAUUCAUAUCAAAUAUCACCACCAAAAAAAUUCAUAUCAAAUAUGCUCUGUCUUAUAUUAGUAUUUUCUAAUUUUCUUAAUUAUAUAAAUGAAAUGGCUCUCACAUAAUCAGGAACAUAAACAACAAACCAACACAAUGGUACCACCUAUAUGGAUUCAACACACAACCAGCCAUAAUAAUAAAAACUACAACUCAGCUACUGACCCAACACCACCGCAUGUAAUUAGAUUAAAUUAAUUCAAUUUCAAAUUAUUACGGCGACGAUGUAUGAAUAUAGUAUUUGUCAAAUGAUAAAUAUGUACACAUACACAAAUUCCAAACCUUAGAAGCUUUCUAACCAAAACCAAUGAAUAUUCAAAAGUCAAAACUAUGAAACAAACAUCACUUUUUUAAAACUAUUCACACAACAAGUGCUUCACCUUGAUUUUUUUUGUGAACACUCUUCACAGUGUGAGGGCUAACAUGAGGCUUUUUACACUACAAAGUAAAUUAAUAAAUAAACUAUAAUAAUCCAAAACGAAAAUAAACAAAAAUUAAUCAACAAAAUAUAGGGGAAUUAAAGAAAUAAACUGUGUUUAGAAGUAACCCAUUUGUUCUUUGUCUAAGCUACAGGGAUUCCUUUCUGUAAAACCCAUAAAAGGGUCUCCCUCAAGCUUGAUUGCUGAAAUGGGUAUCUAGGUUAAAAGCAAGGCAUAUAAAUAAAGGGGUAAUUAAUGAAAAGAUUUGGAGUGAUCUUUUUGAAGAAACUAACCUCAACCACAAGAACUGCAGAAAGGUGUAAAUGGGUCGAAAUGAAGGAACUAAAGGAACGAACAGGACGGGGACAGUCACCUGAGAGAAAGGAAGAACAAAGUGAAACAAGCAAGAAACAGUAAGGAACUGAGAUGGACAUAUUCAGAGAGAUGAACGGAACUGUUACCUAACGAUGUCAUACAACGCGGGUAAUCGGAGAUGAAAGGAUUCGAAAAUUCCAAUUUAGGGAUUUUGUGAAAUGGGAGAUGGAGUGAUUUUGAUUUUGUGUUUUGGUUAUUUUAGGGAUUUGCUGAAAUUUGAAAUGGAGGGAUGAAAAAAUUUGGGGAUUUAGUUAAGAUGAGAUGAUAAAAGAUUUGGGGGAAAUACAGGAGCCAAGUGAAAGUGAAAUUAGAUUUUGGAGCUCUUUAAAAAUGAGAUAUGACUCACACGAAUAGAUUUAAAAAUCUCACUCCAAGUCAGAGACGGAAAUAGAGACAGAAUAACUUUGGGUAGGUAAAAUCCGUCUCUAAAGUCUGUCUCUAAUGUUAAAAGUUUAAUUUCGUCACUAUUUGUAAAUUUCCGUCUCCAUUUCGGUCUCUAGGAGAGACGGAAUAAAUUCCGUCUCCAAAUUCCGUCGGUAUUUGAGACUUUUCUAGUAGUGAAAACAAAUCAAAUAAACACAAAAUUACCAAACAACAAACCCAAAAACUUCAAUAUUGGAAAUUCACUUCUAAUUUAAUUCACCUAUGAAUCAAUCCCCUUUUUUUGAAAAUUAAACUUUGAAUCCCUACAAUGAGUCUAAUAUAGAGAAUCAUCAUUAAUAAUAUGAUUCAAUAAUAGAUAAUAUUGGCAAGAUAUGCACACUAAAAUCUUACCUUAAUGAAACCAAGCCUUAAUGCCAUAUAGUCCAACUUUGUCAUAGAUCCAUAAAAUU
rnacentral:lncRNA from 1 species